CCAAGAUAUUAUAUUAUAAUCUAUGAAUUAUAAUAUGAUAUUUCUAUAAAAUAUCCAGUAUUUUUUUUUUCGUUAUCGUGAUUAAAUUAUCAAUUAUCAUACUAACAUAUUAUGGUUACGGUUUUGUAAACAAAUACCGUGGAUAUGUUAAAUAUAUUGUGGUAGUAGAGUAAAGAUAAACUAGAAUGUAUUAAACUAUCGGUACAACUGUACAAGGGAACCGUUAUUAAGUGCAAAAAUAAAAUUGCAGGAAAUCCAAGGAUUUUUAGGUAUUAUGGCAAGACUACAUGAAUUUUCACCUGGCAACACUCCGCCAUUAAGACAAACCAUGUCAAAAUUCCGCCGUUGCCACAGAACAGUACCAAGUGCCGUUCUUCGGUUUCUCGUCAUCAAUAGCAUGUCACUCGAAACGCAGGUAAAUUUUUUUCCAUAUUAUAUUUUUUUGUUAUUAUAUUAAUUAUUUCUGCUAUGAUAUUUUUAUUAAUAAUAGGUAUUCGUACUUUUAUGAUUAAUACCUGUGACCAUCGCGGCCUACUUUUGUGACUUCCAUGCUGAGACCACCGCCAACGCCACUACAAUCGCCGCCGUCCAUUGUGGUUAACGAGAAUUCAUCCAUUAAACAUUCCAGUAAGCAUUAAACAUCUAUUAUUAUUAUUUUGUACAUAUUGAAUUUUCAUUCGAUAUGCGAGUCAUCUUAUUUCCAUAUGUUUUUUUCGUUUUUAUUUUACAUUUUGAAUGUAGAGAGGGAUCUAUUGAUUUAACUAUGAUGUGUGUGUGGUUUUUUUUUUUUUUGUAUCUGUGAACAAUUUUCAUUGCGUACAGAUAUACAUUAAAUUCCUCUUUUUAUCCUACCUUCCCAACUUCUCACCUACAUCAGUAGGCCCGCCCAUCGUCUGAAGUAUAUUAGUCUUGUUAUUCAUAUAGAUUCACAAUUGAAUUAUUAAUUUUAUAUUGAUAUAAAUUGUCAGCAAAUAGGUAUGCAUAUAUAAGGUAUAAAAGAACGCCUUGCAACUGACGACUUUAAUACUAUACACUCGUUCAGAUUUUUAAUGAAAACUAGUGAUUAGAUACUUUUGAUAUGAAAAUCAUGAAAAAAUUGCACAAUGUAACACUUUUAGUCCGCUAAAGAUAAACUAUACCCAAUUUCCACGUAUUUGCUUUUAUUCAAUUCCGACUCUGUCAAAUCAAAAAUAAAAUAAUACAAAUUGUUACGGGCAAAAAUUAAAAGUACAGUAGAAAAUACUGUUUCAUUAAAUUUAAGUAGGUACUUCUUGAAAUUCCUGUUCACGUCGGAAUUUGGAAAUCAUCAUAUCAAUCUGAGUUCUCUCCCAGGCUGCCUUAAAUAAUUGGUUGUUGUUUUUGUAAUGUUUGAUUGAACCUAAUAGGUGUGAGGUGGUACUUAAGGGAGGUCAUUUUUCUAUGUUCUCAAGAGUUUUCUCAUUAUAUGGAAAAAUCGAAAAAACUAAGGAAAACCGGGAAAAUAUAAGAAAUAUAGGUAUUAGUUAAAAAUAUCAAGUAUACUAUAUAAGUUUUUUCUUUGCACAACUUUUAUACCAGCAAUUUUGCUCCAAUUUUUAAUGAUAGCAAUGCUUCUAAAUGGAAAUUUCACUAGGGAGGUACUUAAUAAAGGCCAUUUUUUGAUUUUCCCAAAAGUUUUCCCAGCAAAUGUGAAAACUGGAAUAAAACAUGGGAAAAAAGUAGAAAAACUGCGAAAAUUAGUAUAACAUUAAACAAAUUUUAUUUGAGAAAAUAUAGAAACCUUAUAUAAUUAUUUUACUACAAAAUAGCAUAUAGAUUGUUGACAAAGCAUCACUAUUACCUGAACUUCGUUAAGAAUUAUUUUUUUGUAAACAAUGGUUUAUCAUUGAUUACAGUUGUACAUUAAAUUCCAAUGUAUAUCCUACCUUCCUAAUUUCCCACCUACACCAGUGACUGCCCCUGUCCCCUUCAUCUUAUGUUUCUUUUGGUCAAUGAAAUGGUUACUGAAUGCUUAUUCAGUAUAGCACAAAGUAAAUUAUCUCAAAAAAAAAAAUAGGUAUCAAAAACUUCUAAAAAUCAAUUUUAAAUUCAGUACUAUAUUAUCUUUGUAAUAUUUGUAUUUUGUUGCUAUAUAUUUAGAUUUAUAAUAUUUAUAUACCAGGUGGUCCAUAUAAGUGGUUACACUCAAGAUGUUCUACAAUUUUAUAUUUAUUUUUUUUUUUUUUGUCACCUUUAUUUUUGGGUGUUAAACUAUUACCUACUUUUAUUUUUUCAAAAGGCAACCUAUAUUAAAAAAAUAGCCCAUAGGAUGGAGUAUUAGGUUAAAUAAAUUUUAGUGUUGAAAUUUGUGAUUCCUGUCAAGUCGUUAAAGAGAUAUUCAACUUUUAGGUUUGGCUUUGAGGAGAGUAGGUGUGCAUUAAAAACAAAAAUGAUAAUCCAUUACUCUCCUCAAACCCAAAUUUAAAAGUGAAAUAUAUCAUCAACGGGUUGACAGAAAUCAAAAGUGUCAACACUAAAAUUUAUUUUAACUAAUAUUCCAUCUAUUUAUGGACCUCCUUACAAAGAUUGCCAUUUGAAAAUCAAAAGUAGGUAGGGGUUUUACCACAUAAAAUAAGAUAAACAUAAAAUGUUUUUGAAAUGUUCUAGAAACAAAUUACAGAAAAGUUAAUACUCUCCAUAAUAGUUAGUUUACUCACUUAAAUGAAUCAUCUAGUAGAUUCUAUACAGAAGACUUAAUAAAAAAUAUUUUUAUUGGUUUUUCAUCACGACAAGCUAAGUAAUGUUAAAAUAAUGUAGUUCAAAACAAAUAAUUAAACUCCAUCCAAAAUGCAAGGCUAAUGUUAAGAUAAUCCAAAUGUUAACAUAUCUUUGUAACUAAUGAGUAAUUUUUUUUAUAGUAUUAAUAAUGGUAUUGUCAUGAACAUGGACAAGGUGUUCCUAUAUCCCUGUCCAAAAAAAAUGGAGUAUAUGAAAAAGAGAUAUUGUAAGUAUUAUUUUUUCAAUGAUGUACUCAUACAACAAUUGAUUUAAAUUAAUUGAAUUUAUUACAGCUAAAAAAAAAAAAUGAAAAAAAAAACUUUGAAAUGAAAAAUGUCUUAAAAUAAGUGUUAAUUAAUUCUAAUUUAGUUUUAUUUUUUACAAUUUUCUGGCCCAACACCAUAUAACGUUUUUUUGUAACAAUUUAUACCUAUACUACAGCUAUCUCUAUCUCUUAACUUCUAUUACAACUACCACUUAAUUGUGUAGAAGAAGCACGGCAUUUGUAGACAGUAUUAAUUUUCAAGAGUCUUUGAAAAAUUUUAACUUAUUUUAAUGGUGUUUGAAAAUUCGGUAGUAAAUCUCUUUUACAUUUUUUUGUCACCUACUUUUGAUAGUACAAAUAAGUUUGUUUAUUACUUUUUGACAAGAUUGUGUAUUUUCUUCGCGUUUCUUUUUUUUAAGAGUUUAACAUACACUAUCUCGUUAAGAACUAUUGAAUAAACUUUUGUCUUAUCAAAAGUAGAAGAAAUAAGAAACAAAAGAAAUUCUUUACCAAUUUUUUAAACACCAUUAUGAAUAAAAACAAGUGUUUACAAAGGCCUAAUCCUUUGGAAAUUCAAGAGAAUCCGGUUUGCAAAUAUCGUGAUUCUUCAAUACAAUCAUCAAGUGGAAAUUCUAAUGGAAACUUCGCUUGUCAUUUAUUUAAAACAGAUGCAUUUUAUUACAAAUUAUUAAGAGGAAUUUACACACCAUAUGGCAUUGUGCAAGACUAUUGUAGAAGAUGAAACUAAAUCAGAAUUGAAUAAGAAGACACUAUUUCAAACACCAAAUAGAAGAAGGAAUACAAAAAAAAGAAAUAUGAAUAAUAAUUUGUUUACAUUUAAGUAUACCUAUUUUAUCAAUUAUUUUAAAUCACCAUUUUGUAUUUUUACCUAAAUUAUAUCACCUAUUUAUUUCUUAAAAAGGACUUAAACUAUUAAAUUUUAAAAUUGAAUUUAUUAGCAUUUUCGUCAGUUUAGUAGAUUUAUAAAAAACAUUUUAUUUAUUUGAACUGUUGUGUUGUGGUAUGCCACAUUAUUAUAAUAAAAUAAAAUAAGUAUUUAAGUAUUUAUUUAAUAUGUAUUGAUGUUACUCCUCCACCUUCAUCUCAACAUAAACACCAACCCACAAAAACUAUAUGUAUGUUGAUUAAUUCCAAAUCAAUGUUAUAACUCUAAAUUUGAAUUUAUAUUUCAAAUAGUUGUCCAAAAAUAUGAAUUAAAAAAUAAAAAGACAAGUUUUGUAAACAAGACUAUAUAUUGUUAUUUUAUUUAUAAACACAUAAUACACACAUAUAUUGUCUUUAUAUAUUUUUUGAAACCACCUUAAAAUAUAAAGUUAUAGGAAACAUUAGGUACUUCAUAGAACCAAAUCAGAAGAGCAAUAUGCGAUUUUUUUUUUGUAGAUGUGAUUAGGAAAUCAAGGAUAAAUCAAUGUUACUUUAUUUUCACUUUUUCCAUUGUAAUUAUUAAUACAUGUUUAUAUAUUCAUAACAAAAACAAAUUAUACCAUUGAAUUCUUACCAUAUACCAAAGUAAUAAUACUAAACAAAAUUAAAGUUUUGUACAUUAUGCAAGGACAAUUUAUCUCAGAAUAACAUUCAAUAAAGGUGGAUAAUUAUAUAUAUAAAUAAUAGCAAUAAAUAGAUACUGAUUGACAGUUAUUCUGAGACAUAUAGUAGCUAUGUCAUAUUAGAGUGAAGAUCUUUGAUAAUACAUUGCAGAGACUGAACUUUAUUUUCUAAAUGUAGAAUUUUUUUCUGUUAAACAUUUAUUUUUUUUUUUUUAGUUCAGUUAUAGUCGAUUGCCUGUACUAUUGGAAAAUUUCUCAGAGUUCUAGAUAGACUUCCAAAAUCUCCAAAAAGAGUUGAAUUUGAAAGGGUUCUUUUACUUUUGCUGAUGAUGAUGUAGAAUCAAACAGAUUCUGAAAAUGUGAAAAUGUAUGAUAUGUGUCCUUAAUUAAAACAUAAUUACACAAUUUUUACCUUUUAGAAUUUACUUUAUUUUAUUUAUAAUGAAUAGCAAAUAUGUAUGGACACUUGGAAUGUCUAAACAAUUAAAUAUAUUUACUUAGUAGAAUGAUACUUAGGUUCAUAGUAUAUAUUUUGUAAUUUUUUUUUUAAAUUCAUUUGAUAACAAUAAUUGAUUAAAUCAAUUAUUAAGCUUAAAUAUAUUUGCAUAUUAUUGUUACUUAUUAUAAUA